CCUACGGGUGGCAGCAGUGAGGAAUAUUGGUCAAUGGGCGCGAGCCUGAACCAGCCAAGUCGCGUGCGGGAAGACGGUCCUAUGGAUUGUAAACCUCUUUUGUCGGGGGGCAAAAGACGCCACGCGUGGCGUUCCGAGAGUACCCUAAGAAAAAGCAUCGGCUAACUCCGUGCCAGCAGCCGCGGUAAUACGGAGGAUGCGAGCGUUAUCCGGAUUAUUGGGGUUAAAGGGGGCGCAGGCGGAAGAGCAAGUCAGCGGGAAAAUUGCGAGGGUCAACCUCCUCGAGCCGUUGAAACUGGGUUUCUUGAGUGAGUGAGAAGUAUGCGGAAUGCGUGGUGUAGCGGUGAAAUGCAUAGAUAUCACGCAGAACUCCGAUUGCGAAGGCAGCAUACCGGCGCUCAACUGACGCUCAUGCACGAAAGUGUGGGUAUCGAACAGGAUUAGAUACCCCUGUAGUC
rnacentral:rRNA from 1 species